UUAAGGUAAGACCUGCCCGAUGUANUUAUCAAUGGCCGCGGUAUCCUGACCGUGCGAAGGUAGCAUAAUCAUUAGUCUCUUAAUUAGAGGCUGGUAUGAAUGGUUAAACGAGAAAGUAACUGUCUCUUACACAAUAAUUGAAUUUCAUUUUUAAGUGAAAAAGCUUAAAUCAAUCUGAAGGACGAUAAGACCCUAUAGAGCUUCACUUCAAUAAAAUGGAAACAACCUAGUGAUAAUAAUUAUCAUUCUAAAGAAGUUGCGUUGGGGCGACGACAAGACAAAAAAUAACUCUUUAUUUUAUAAACAGUUAAAACUGAAAAAUUGAUCCUUAAAGAAAGAUCACAUGAACAAGUUACCUUAGGGAUAACAGCGUAAUCCUUUUUGAGAGUUCUAAUCAACAAAAGGGUUUGCGACCUCGAUGUUGGAUUAAGAGUUCGCCAGGGUGCAGCAGCUUUGGUAGAUGGUCUGUUCGACCUUUAAUCUCUUACG
rnacentral:rRNA from 1 species